AUGGGGAUAUUGGGGUUCAGAUAUUUACAUGCGUUUAAUCUUGUGAUGCUCGCAAAGCAGGUUUGGAGACUGUUAUCAAAUCCUGACACUCUAUGUGCAAAGGUUUUGAGAGCUAAAUAUUAUCCUGAUGGAAAUCUCUUGGAGGCAGGACCGAAGAAGGGAUCUUCAUUUAUGUGGCAAAGUAUUGUUGUCGGUCUCCAGACUUUCAAAAGAUGGCAUAUUUGGAGAGUGGGGUCAGGAAGUAAUAUCAAUACCUCGGAUGAUCACUCUGAGUAG
rnacentral:rRNA from 1 species